GAACCGGCUUGAGGGUUUGGAUUACAAACAUAUUCACUCCUAAGUGAAGACAUCAAACUGGUUCUGUAAAUCAAGAUUGGAGGGAGUUCCAGGCAGAAGAUGGAAUAGAAAUGGUAUUUGACGGAUCUGAUGACCUUGUGAAAUGGGAGGAGAAGGGGAAAGAACUAAAGAAAACAGAAUCUGGCAGAGCUCCUGGGUUACACUAGAAAACCCUGUCCUGCCUUCAGAGCCCAGUCACUAGGUUCUUAUCUCCAGAGUAGGUUGGCUCUCGGACCCAACUCUUCCUCUGAGGGGAACGGAAAGAACUUGGGAAUGCAGAAACACACUGUGGAUUCUAGGGCUCUAACCACAAAAUGGGGUAACACAAGGGACUCUAUGAGUCUCCCUUCUGCUUUGGGUCUCUCUUCAGCCCUCACUCAGCGCUCGGUGCUCCCCUCUUCCCUAUUCUGUAGCCCCAACUAGGAAGCUAACUGUGUGUGUGUGCUUUCUUCCUUAGCUACACAGACGUCAUUGAUGUUGUGCAAGCCCUGCAGACUCACCCAGACCCAAACGUCAGGUCCUACUUCACCAUUGGUGCCGUCACGGUGUGUGUGGAGCCCUUGAGCUGCUACAUGGAGCACAGGUAGACACUUAGGAUCGUCUCCAUCCCAUGAUGUGGUACUGAAGUAAACUGUAGCAAGUUUCCCUCCCUUCCGGAAUGAGACAGGUCUUUUCGCAUGUUUGGCUUGUGGAACCACAUAUUGAAUGAGAUUAUGGAAGACAGGCUUUAUUCAUCCCCAUGAGAACAGGAGCCAUGUCUUUUCAGUGCUUAGUGCAUAGUUAGUAUUCAUGAAGGAUCUAUGGAAGUGGAUUUUGCCAAGUGUGUGUAAUGGAUCUUGGGUUCAGUCCCAAGCAAUGCAAAUAAGGAAAGAAGGGACAGAAAGAGGGAAGGAGGAAGCGAAUGAGGGAGGGAGGGAGGAAAAUACAUAAUGUGAGAAAAGCUAAAUGGGGUGGUUAAAGGUCUAUAAUCCCAGAACUCAGGAGGCAGAGAUGGGAGGAUCACUAGUUAGAAGCCAACUUAGGCUAUAAUGAGACUCUGUCUCAAAGAAAGAAAUACUGACUAAGUAGGUGCUCAGGGCCAACCUGGGCUCCACCAGAGUGUGAGAUCCUGGCUCAAAAGCGCAAAACAAACAAGCAGACAAUAAAUGAGUGUGUCUGCAUAUGAGUGUACCACAGACAUAGUUUAAUAAGACAUGAAUGGGGAUAAGUAUGUAGUUACUUAAAUACAGAAGCCAGUCUAGGGACAAGAAACCCUUUCUCAAACAAC
rnacentral:lncRNA from 1 species